rnacentral:pre_miRNA from 1 species
ACGGCGACAUCCUUAGGAGAAACAGAGUGUAACUCGAUAGAUUUCCCUGAGGUUCUCGCUGCCG